UCCGGUUUGUCACCGGCAGUCACCUUAGAGUGCCCAACUAAAUGCUGGCAACUAAGAUCAAGGGUUGCGCUCGUUGCGGGACUUAACCCAACAUCUCACGACACGAGCUGACGACAGCCAUGCAGCACCUGGACCUAGGUUCCCUUGCGGGCACUCCCUCGUCUCUGAGGAAUUCCUAGUUUUUCUAGCCCGGGUAAGGUUCUGCGCGUUGCGUCGAAUUAAACCACAUGCUCCACCGCUUGUGCGGGCCCCCGUCAAUUCCUUUGAGUUUCAGCCUUGCGGCCGUACUCCCCAGGCGGGGCACUUCAUGCGUUAGCGCCGGUACCCCGGGGGUCGCUCCCCAGAGCACCUAGUGCCCAUCGUUUACGGCGUGGACUAC
rnacentral:misc_RNA from 1 species